rnacentral:rRNA from 1 species
UACGUAGGGCGCAAGCGUUGUCCGGAAUUAUUGGGCGUAAAGGGCUCGUAGGCGGUCUGUCACGUCGGGAGUGAAAACUCGGGGCUUAACCCCGAGCCUGCUUCCGAUACGGGCAGACUAGAGGUAUGCAGGGGAGAACGGAAUUCCUGGUGUAGCGGUGAAAUGCGCAGAUAUCAGGAGGAACACCGGUGGCGAAGGCGGUUCUCUGGGCAUUACCUGACGCUGAGGAGCGAAAGUGUGGGGAGCGAACAGG